GAUUUGAAAAUUAAAUUAAAUUAUUAUUAUUAUUAUUAUAUUAUUAAUUUAUUAGAAGUAAAUUUGGUUAUUAUUUUUUAUAAAUAAUUAUAUUUAUUAUAGUUAAUUUUUACUGUGAGGGAAAAUUUUAUAAUAAAAAAAGAAAGUUUAGUUGGCUGUACCUUGUGUAUCAGGGUUGAUUAAUUUCUAUCUUUAUUUAAAGUAUUUUCGAAUUAAGAAGAGUUAUAAAUUUAUUUUUUUUAUUGUUAAAUAAAUAUUAUUAAUAAAUUUAUUGAAGUGAAACGCUAUUCGAUUCUUAAUAUAUCUAGUUUCUUAAGAAAUAAGUUUAAUUUAUUUUUUUUUAUUAAUUUUAUUUUUGAUUAUACAGUUAAUAUAAAAAUAUUAUAAUAUAUGGGUUGAGCUUUAUAUUUUAUUUAUAUAAUAAAAUAUGUUCUAUGUUAAAGUAUUAGAAUUAAAAGUUUUUUUAAGUGAGUUAUUUCUGGUUUAAUAUUUAAUUUUAUUUUUAUUUUAUUUAUGUAUUUUAUUAAGAUUAUUGUAUAAAUAUAUAUACUAUUUUGUAAUAAUGAUUAAAUUAGUAAAAACAGAAAUUUGUAUGAUGAUUUAGUUUGUUAGACAAAUUAUAAAGGAAUUCGGCAAUUUUAUUUUUUACCUGUUUAUUAAAAACAUGGCCUUUUGAGUUUAUUUAAGGUUUAGCCUGCCCAAUGAUUAAUAUGAUUUAAUGGCCGCAGUAUUUUAACUGUGCAAAGGUAGCAUAAUCAUUAGUUUUUUAAUUGAAAGCUGGAAUGAAGGGCUGGAUAAGAAAAUAACUGUCUCUAUUUUGUUUAUAUUGAAUUUUAUUAUUAAGUGAAAAGGCUUAAAUAUUUAAUGAAGACGAGAAGACCCUAUAGAGUUUUAUAGUUAUUAUUUUGUAAAUUAUUAGGAUAGUUUUGUUUACUUUAUAUUAAUUAUUUAAUUGGGGUGAUUAAAAAAUUUAAACAACUUUUUUUAAAUUUAAACAUUUUUUUAUGAAUUUUUGAUCCUUUAUAUAGAUUAUAAGAAUAAAUUACCUUAGGGAUAACAGCGUUAUUUCUUUUUAGAGUUCAAAUCGAGAAAGAAGAUUGCGACCUCGAUGUUGGAUUAAAAUUUUUUUUUGGUGUAGAAGCUAAAAAAAUGAGUCUGUUCGACUUUUAAAAUUUUACAUGAUCUGAGUUUAAACCGGUGUAAGCCAGGUUGGUUUCUAUCUCUUUAAUAUUAUUAUAGUUUAGUACGAAAGGACCAAUUAUGAAAUAAAAUAUUUUAUAAUAGAAUAUUAUUAAGUUGGUUAUUUUGGCAGAUGAAGUGCAAUUGAUUUAGGUUCUUUUUAUAUAAGUUUUCUUAUAA
rnacentral:rRNA from 1 species